CCCUGGAACUGCCUUUAAUACUGCUAGUCUUGAGUUCGAGAGAGGUGAGUGGAAUUCCGAGUGUAGAGGUGAAAUUCGUAGAUAUUCGGAGGAACACCAGUGGCGAAGGCGGCUCACUGGCUCGAUACUGACGCUGAGGUGCGAAAGUGUGGGGAGCAAACAGGAUUAGAUACCCUGGUAGUCCACACCGUAAACGCUGUCUACUAGCUGUUUGUGGAUUUAAUUCGAAGCAACGCGCAGAACCUUACCAACCCUUGACAUCCUAGGACAACCUGAGAGAUCAGGCCUUCCUUCGGGACCUAGUGACAGGUGCUGCAUGGCU
rnacentral:rRNA from 1 species